rnacentral:rRNA from 1 species
CGGGACGGGUGAGUAAUGUAUGGGGAUCUGCCUGAUGGGGGGGGAUAACUACUGGAAACGGUAGCUAAUACCGCAUAAUGUCUGCGGACCAAAGCGGGGGACCGUCGGCCCUCGCGCCAUCAGAUGAACCCAUAUGGGAUUAGCUAGUAGGUAAGGUAACGGCUUACCUAGGCGACGAUCCCUAGCUGGUCUGAGAGGAUGACCAGCCACACUGGAACUGAGACACGGUCCAG